AUGGAGUUGAGGCUGAUCUGGGUUUUCCUUGUUGCUAUUUUAAAAGGUGUCCAGUGUGUGGUGCAGCUGGGGAAACUUGGUGCAGCCUGGCGGGUCCCUGAAACUCUCCUGUACAGCCUCUGGAUUCACCUUCAGUGGUUACUACAUGUACUGGGUCUGCCAGACUCCAGGGAAGGGGCUGGGGUGGCUCUCACACAUUAGUGGUAGUGGUGGUAGCACAAAGUAUGCAGACUCCGUGAAGGGCAGAUUCACCAUCUCCAGAGACAAUUCCAAGAACACACUGUAUCUGCAAAUGAACAGCCUGAGAGCCGAUGACACCACCACGUAUUACUGUGCAGAAGACACAGUGUGUGAUCUUCAGUGUGAGCCCAGACACAAAUCUCCCUGCAGGGAUUCUCACAACCAGCAGGGGGCGCGCAGGACACACUGA